rnacentral:rRNA from 1 species
UACAGAGACUGCAAGCGUUACUCGGAUUCACUGGGCGUAAAGGGAGCGCAGGCGGAUUGGUGUGUCAGAUGUGAAAUCCCGGGGCUUAACUCCGGGGCUGCGUCUGAAACUACCGAUCUAGAGAUUCGGAGGGGCUAGUGGAAUUCCUGGUGGAGCAGUGAAAUGCGUAGAUAUCAGGAGGAACACCAACGGCGAAGGCAGCUAGCUGGACGAAAUCUGACGCUCAGGCUCGAAAGUAUGGGGAGCAAAAAGG